GAACGCACAUUGCGCCCGCCAGUAUUCUGGCGGGCAUGCCUGUCCGAGCGUCAUUUCAACCAUCAAGCCCCGGGCUUGUGUUGGGGACCUGCGGCUGCCGCAGGCCCUGAAAACCAGUGGCGGGCUCGCUAGUCACUCCGAGCGUAGUAAUACAUCUCGCUCAGGGCGUGCUGCGGGUUCCGGCCGUUAAAAGCCUUAUUUACCCAAGGUUGACCUCGGAUCAGGUAGGAAGACCCGCUGAACUUAAG
rnacentral:misc_RNA from 1 species